CACGGGGGGAGCAAGCGUUGUUCGGAAUCACUGGGCGUAAAGGGCGUGUAGGCGGUCAGGUAAGUGGGAUGUGAAAUGCCCCGGCUCACCCGGGGACCGGCAUCCCAAACUGCUUGGCUUGAGUAUGGGAGAGGAUGAGGGAAUUCCUGGUGUAGCGGUGAAAUGCGUAGAUAUCAGGAGGAACACCAGUGGCGAAGGCGACUACCUGGCCUGUUCUUGACGCUGGAGGCGCGAAAGCCUAGGGGAGCAAACGGG
rnacentral:rRNA from 1 species